AUACAGAAUAAGCAGUUGUUCAAGUUGGCAGAAAUGCCAUAAAUACCUGUAUUCUUAAAGGGACACUCGGAGUACCAAUACAACUUCAAUGCAUUUGAUGGGUUUUGGCCUCUAAAUAUGCUUGCAUUCUUAAAUCUUUAUAGUUUUUGAAUAAUAUAAAUAAAUGCUUUGCAGAAUGCUGCACUAUAAGCCUGCCUCUUUCGCCACAGCACUUAACUCAAGAAAAAUACUUCCUUAUCAAAUGUAUGUACACAGCUCAGCCACAGACAGUACGGAAUCAUCUGCACUACAGAACAACCUUCAUUAGAAGGAGAGAAAACCAAGGGAGUAAUAUAGUAAGGAUAUCAGUAACUAUUUGCAGUUUCUGCAAAAUAUUUGUUUUUUUUAAGAAAAACUAUGAAGAUUUGAGCAUGCAAAAAAUACUGCAUAUCGUUGAGGGCAAAAUCUAUCAAAUCUAUCAGAUGUAUUAAAAUUGUAUUGUGGACGGAGUGCCC